UAGGACAUUUUACACAAUAACAUUGAAAGGUAAAGGAACGUUUUGUACUAAUUACCCUUGUCAAAAAUAAAAAAAUUAUCACCGUAAUCUAAUGGGUCGAUGGUCCUCCAUUGUCCUUUAAUCUUUUCGAAGUUCGAUGAUCGAUGCAAUGAAUGGGAUGCAUCAAGAUUUUUCCUUAGCAGUCUCUACAUCAAGUACCUUCUGAAGGUAGCAUCGUGUCUUUUAAUGCCAAUGUGUUUAUUAUGAUGGUGGUGAGACUUGCAAUUGGCUACUCACACAAUUGUUUUUUUAAUAUUUGAAGGUCAAGAACCAACCCACCCAAGAUUAGUUGGCUUUGAACGGUGUCGAGUUUCCACCCGAAAGGGUUGGUUUAAACAUAUUAAGUUGGGUUUAGAUUGGGCCCAAACCCGACCCAACCCCCAACUCUACAAGUCCACUUUAACAAUAAUAGUUAUUUUACACUGUCCAUUUCAAUCCAUUAAACAAAAAUUUUAGGAUUAUGCUAUUUACAUCCACAAUUGUUAUAUGAAUAAUUCUAUUUGUACAAUAUUUUGUACAAUCUAGUUGACAAGAGGUCAAGUGACGACCCCCUAUUGGAGGGGCAACUGUCUAAUUUUAAAUACAUCUCUAAUUCAAUUUCAAAAUUUUUAAAAAAUCACUCUAUUCAUCCAAACCUUUAUUGUAAAGUAACUGAGAAGACAAUACUUCUGUGUAGAGUUGAAAGCCAUUAAUGUUGGGGUCAAGACUCCCACCUUAUGACAUGAUUUAUUUUUUCAAAAACAAAAAUAAAAAUUGAUGAAAUUUGUCUAAUGUAUAUCCUGUAAUGGUAAUAAAAUAUAAUCCUUAUUUUUUCAAAUUCUUCAUAUAUUAUAGUGUCUUCAUGUAUUUUCUCCAAUGGUAAUCCUUCCACUGUUGUUUUGAUUUCAUUGAAGAUGUAUUUUAUAAUUAUUAGUGAUUUAUUAUUUUAGUUGAAGAUGAUAUAUUAUGAUUAUAAGAGUUUUAAUUAAACAUAAAUAUAAAAAAAAAAAAAGAUAAAAAGGCUUAAAUGAAUUUAAUGAAUAGCGAACCAAAACUUUAUAUAUAUAUAUACACACACACACACACAUAAACAUGAACCACACAUAGAUAUUUCAAAAGGAAACCACUUAAAACUAUUAUUAUCUAUUAAUAAAAAAUUGUUCGGGUUUUACUGGCAGCAGAAAUACUAACAGAAUGAAUUUAAGCUGCAAAGCGGAGCCCUUAAUAUCAAUAUUUGCACACCAUAAAUAGGCUUCUCUACACUACAUCGCAUUAGAGCAGCCUUCAGUACUUGUGCGAUUCACAUAUUAAAUCAAUUGGGAUCGAAAUAAUAUUAUAAUUGUAGCAAUAUUAGAAUAACAUCAUGAAUUCUUCAAAAUAAUAAUAAUACCAGGAAUUCGAAAUAUUGCUUGCAGAUCUUACGCAAAAUUUCUGCACAAAUCCGAAGAGGAGUGGAGAUCUGAAUCAAGGCGGAAGGGAAGCCGCCGUAGAAUUGAUUUAUAGAAGGCAGUGCAGCGCGAAAGCCGAAUUGUCUGGAAGCCCUAGAUUAGAUUUCAAGGCUUUGAGCGGCCUUUUAAUCAUGCGGAGGCCCAUUUAAUUUGUUUGAUCCAUUUUCUUCUUUUCAAAAUUACAUUAAACAAGAUAUUUAGA
rnacentral:lncRNA from 1 species